UGGUCAGUUCAUUCUGAAAACAGCAGUUCUCAUUUGAUCACUGAAAUUAAGCAGCAUAGAGCCUGGUCAGUAUUUAGAUGGGAGACUAUUUGGGAACU